rnacentral:lncRNA from 1 species
GUUUUGGGAGGGGGGGUGCCAGAAGAGCUUUGUGGUGUGGAUACAUCCCUUCUGGAGACAUUAGGGAUGUUGGUUCAGUCUUGGGGCUGCAGAAGUUCUGGGGCUUUGGAAUCCUAGACAAAUCUGGAUAGGAUCCUAUCCCACAUUUGCCUUUUCCAGGGCAAACUAAGGCCCUGAAAGGUAAAGGCCCCCUUCUCUUCUGUCUGGAAAAUACCAUGUUAUGCUCUCAUAAGCCACAGAAUAUACAGGCGGGUCUCCUUAUGCUGGGCAGCCAUCGGUACAUGCUGGGUGCACUUAGCAGGCCCUGUUAGUGCCACCUGAGGUACAGGCAGGCAAUAGGUACAGACUUCAUCCCGUCCAUGUCUGGUUUCCCCCUUUGGAAUCAUUGCGAACAAAGCAUUUUUGAGAGUCUCAGGCAAAAAGAUAUUCCCUGGGUUCCAGGUAAGUGGUCUUGUUCCCUGGCAAUUUGGAAACUGUCUCAACUGGCCAAUCAGGAACUUCCUGGUUCACAAAGGGUACGUUCUCGUACAACUGGGGCGUGGCGUUUCCUGGGAAAUGAAGUUCUAGGACGUAGUUUCUUUAUCCAUUUUUCGUUGGGAAACUACGAAGACCAGAAUUCUCCGCUCCCGCGUGGGGGCGGGACUUGAAGCAGCCAAUCAGCAGUCGGGGUUGUUCGGGCGCCUGGUAGAGGCAGGCCGUAGAGGUGGAGGAAGCCGUGAUUGGGGCGUUUGGGCAGUUCACUGCGUAGGUGUGCGGCUGGCGGGCAUGCGGAAGGUGGGUCCCUUUUCGCAUCGUGCAGGUUAUGUGCUCGCGGUUCUGGAACAGUAGGUAGGCGCUGAGGCCUAAAGCGGCCCUGUCACGAGAGCCAUCACUGGUUAUUGUGACUAGGCGGCUUGCGGGAUGCUCCUGUCGGAAGACAGGCCAGGACAUCCUUGCGGACCUGUGCCUGUUCAGUAACGGAGUCAGCCUGGAACGCGGUGAGAACCGGGAGGAGGCAGGGUAGGGGGCGCUUCCAGGGAGAGUAGGAGCUAAGACCUGCAGACAGAAGGAUGUGUUGGGGGGCAGUCCCCUGGAAUGGCAUGCGCAAAGGUAGUCCUGGAAAGAACCUGUUUUUGGUGGAGAUCGUUUUGAAAGUUCUGAAUGAAUUAACUCGUGGGACAUUUUCUUGACCAUCUAGAGAGCUGGCCUUUGUCCUGAGAACAAGGAGAAGUCACUACAGGAUUUUUAGAGGGCAGGGAUUAUGCUUCAGUUUUGUUGCGAUCUGGGAAUAGAUUGAUAGUAAAGAGGCUGGGGUCUGGCAGUCUCUGUAACAGGUUCCUAGGCAAGAGAGAUCCUGGAUGGAUCAGAGCAGGGGCAAUGAUAGGGAGGGAAGGAUGGAGAAAGGUAGAGAGAAAUCCAGAAGGUUGAGUUGGCAGGUUUGUGGAAGAGGUAGAGGGGCUGGGGAAGGGGUAUCUCCAGCACGUGAAACAGAUUGUAGAUUCCCAAUGAAAUUUUUCCUUAAUUUUUCCUCUCUCCAGUACUGGGAAUGGAAUGCUUUACCACUGAACUAUACUCAGCUCACUUAGUAAAAAUAUUUGGAAUUAACAGUAUUUGGAGACAGGUGCUAUUGUCAUCUCCCCUUUGCAAAUAAAGGUGCAGAAAAUAGAGGUAGUUAAGUAAUUUGUCCAAGAUCACAGAGCUAGGAAGUGAGUCAGGUUGUGUGUGAGUGUGUGUGUGUGUGUGUGAGAGAGAGAGAGAGAGAGAGUGAGAGAGAGAACCCUUGACUUUAAGGUGCCAGAUGAACCUAGGGAUAUCAGAGGGGGCCAGAUCAUGUAGAUCCAUGAAGAAUUUGAGACAGGCACAGAAAUGUAUGUCUCACAUUUCUGUUUCCAGCCCAGAACCACUCCCCUGAGCUCUUGACCAACUGCCUACCUCAUACCUCCUUGUUUUUCUGGAGGUAUCUCCAAAGUCAUCUUUAUCAAAUUGAACUCCUGUGGUAGCACCUUGAUGGUCUUCCUGCUCCUAUUCAGUCUGUUUUUUACACGUCCAAAGGGACUCUGAACAUCUGCAUUGGUCCUGUCCCUCCCCUACUCAGAACCCUUCCAUGGCUCCAUCUCACCCAUGGUAAAAGCCAGAGUCCUCUCCAUGGCCUGUAAGGCCCUGCACAGUCUACCUUCAUCAUCUCUCUGACAUGGUGGACUAUCAUCACUCACUCUGCUCCAGCCACACUGGCCUCAGGAUCUUUGCACUUGCUGUUCCCUUUGCCUGGAAGACUCAUGUCCCAGAUUUCCCAUACUCACCUCCUUUCGUUUUUUACUCAGAUAAUACUUUCUUCUUGAGAUCUUCCAUGACCAUCCUUCAAAAAUUAUACCACUGACAUCCAUUUUUCCUUAUGUUAAUCAUAUCACUGUUUAUCACACUGUACAAUUUAUCUUGUUUACUGACACCCCCGCCCCAUACCAUCAGCUUCAUGAGGGCAAGGCUUUGAUUAUCUCUUUCAUGCUUUAUCUCCAAACCCAAGAGGAGUGACUUGGCACAGCAGGACUCACUAACUACUUCUCAGAUUGAGCCAUUUUCAGAGCGUAGAUCUGGAUCAGAAUAUCUGGAGGCCAUCCCUGCACAACUCAAAGGGUUCGCCUUAAACUUUUCUGAGGACUCAACACUUUUAGCAGACAUUUAUCUUGCCUCUGCUUUAUGCUCAGUAUUGGGAACACAGCAGAGGACAAAGUAGUUUCCCCAAAGAACCCAGUCUCAGGGAUGAGGAUUCAAAUGGUAAUCUCACAAACGUGGAAUUACAAAGAAAGGGAGAGGAAAUGCUGUGAGCCCCUGAUAGAAAAUCUGGUCUGGAUCCUAGGAAGAGGUUUGAGGCUAUGCAGGAGUUUGACUAACUCCAUGGACAGUGUGUGUGAUGUUUGGACCUAGAGGCUAUGUUUGGGUUGUUUUUGUUUUUGUUUUUGGUACUGGGGAUUGAAGUCAGGGGCACUCCACUGAGCCACAUCCCCAGCCCUAUUUUGUGUUUUAUUUAGAGACAGAGUUGCUUAGUGCCUCACCAUUGCUGAGGCUGGCUUUGAACUGUGAUCCUCCUGCCUUAGCCUCCCAAGCUGCUGAGAUUACAGGCGUAUGCCACCGUGCCCAGCAUGUGCCACUGUACCUGGCAUGCAACCACAUAUUCUUUGCUGUUUCUCCUGUGAAGUAGCAGAGUCUCCUUCCUUCCCUUGAAUCUGGACAGGUUUAUGAUUUGUUUGAAUCAAUAGAAUGCAGUGAAAAGUGGCACUUACCAAAUGUGGGGCCUGAACCUUAAGAGGCCUGGUACCUUCUGCUUUUACUCUCAGAGCCCUGGUUGGAGGUCUCCUGCAGCGCUGUCUGCCUUUUUUUUGUUUUGUUUUUUAAUUCUGAUUUGUUAUAUAUGACAGCAGAAUGCAUUACAAUUCGCUUUACACAUAUAGAGCACAUUUUCCCAUAUCUCUGAUUGCAUCUUUAUAGAGGUCCAGCAGCCUCUAGCUGCUCUGGCUAUUUUAGCUAAUGAGAGUGAUGCUGCCUUGGAUUUUUAACUGCUGCCAGCUGACCCCAUCUGCAUUAGAGACAAACCAUCCUGAGUCCUCUCACCCUCUGACCCUUGCCUAAAUUGCAGAAUUAUGAGCAAAUAAAUGGUUGGUAUUUUAUGACUGUGUUUUAGGAGGAUUUGUUACACAGCAGUAGCUAACUAAAACAAACUAAUAUUUUUCAAGAUCUUACUAUUAUGACUGAAUCCUUGCAGUCACCUUAAGUGGUGCUAAUUAUUAUUCCCAUUGUAUAGAUGAAAUAGUGAAGACAUAGAAAAGUUAAUAAAGCAGUAGCAUAGUAUCUCUCCCACAGUAAGCCCUGCAUAUGUGAUAGCUAAUAUCAGCAUCAUGUUCAUCAGCACUAAAAUUUUCACAGUUAUUAAAAAUAAAUGAUAUUCAAGCCAGGCAUGGUGGCACAUGCCUGUAAUCCCAGGGACUCGGGAGGCUGAGACAGGAGGAUCUCAAAUUUGAGACCAGACUCAGCAACUUAGUAUAAGCAACUUAACAAGACCCUGACUCAAAAUCUCAGAGGACUGGGGAUGUGGUAAAAUACCCCUGGAUUAAAUACUCAGUACUCCUCUCCCCCAAAUAAAAGUGGUAUUCAGUUAGAUAAAGACAAGCUUGUUGGGCUGGGGGUCUUGUUUUGUUUUUUGAAGGACUGGUAGAGAGGCAGAAUGGCAGAAGUACUUGCUGAUCUCCUCGGAGUACCAGAUCCGACCUCAGUUGGCAUGAGGCUCCUCCUGGUCUUUCUCCUUAGGGAUGCAGUAGAUGGUUAAUCAUCAGGCCUGUUUGAAGUGGAGCCCACCUGUCCUGCCUGACCCCCAGGGCCACACUCCCAUGAUCACGCCCCAGCUCUCGGGCGCAUGCGCUGUUCUGCGCGUUGGUGUUCGUAGCAAGGCUGCCUCCUCUGAGCCUGUACCCUGUUGGAAAGAUGAGUGAUGAGUAAAUCCUGCUGCUAAGAGCUGUGGAAGCCGAGGAUUGGAGGGAGAGGGACGGGGGGUGUGUGUGGGGGUUAUAGGUGGCCGUGUUGAAGGUGUCUGUGAGUAAAAUGUGAGUGCAGGUCCUGACCAAGGAGGAAAAGGGACAGUCCAGGUCAAAGGCCCCAAGGCACGGGUGUGGUGGUGGUUGUGGUUGUUGUUGAAGCAGAAGGAGCAAGGUGGGUGGAGGUCAUCCAGGCCCUGAUGGCGGCAGUAAGGACGUCACCUCGGUGCUGAGUGGCCGUCGGAGCCCUUCCAGCUAAAAUGAUCCGGUCUAAAGUUCUGCAAGGAUUCCUGAGGUCUGGAAUCUAGUCCUGUGGGCACCAGACUCCACAGGGAAGGCCACUGGAUCCAGCCCAGAGAUGCUGGGGACUUGGCAAGGGUGAGAGCAAAAGAGGUGGUCAGAUUUUUUUGUAUAAUUUGUAGGGAAAAUCAACAAGAUGUGGGGUGUGGGUGUAGGGCUAAAAAGGGGGAGUCGGAGCAGCCUGCGCAGAGGAAGGAGGUGUGCUGUGAGCUGUCUGAGGAAGACAGAUGGCGCACAGGCAGGGGGCGAGAGGCUGGCCUUCAGGAGUGAGGUC